rnacentral:rRNA from 1 species
GAUGAACGCUGGCGGCGUGCCUAAUACAUGCAAGUCGAGCGGACGGACGAGGAGCUUGCUUUUCUGAUGUUAGCGGCGGGCGGGUGAGUAACACGUGGAUAACCUACCUAUAAGACUGGGAUAACUUCGGGACACCGGCGCUAAUACCGGAUAAUAUUUUGAACCGCAUGGGUCAAAAGUGAAAGACGGUCUUGCUGUCACUUAUAGAUGGAUCCGCGCUGCAUUAGCUAGUUGGUAAGGUAACGGCUUACCAAGGCAACGAUUCAUAGCCGACCGGAGAGGGGGAUCGGCCACCCUGGAACGUAGACGCGGUCCAGACGCCUACGGUACGCAGCAGUAGGGAAUCUGCCGCAAUGGGCGAAAGCCUGACGGAGUAACGCCGCGUGAGUUAUGAAGGUCUUCGGAUCGUAAAACUCGGUUAUUAGUGAAGAACAUAUGUGUAAGUAACUGUGCACAUCGUGACGGUACCGAAUCAGAAAGCCACGGCUAACUACGUG